AACGAACGCUGGCGGCAUGCCUAACGCAUGCAAGUCGAACGAGAUCUUCGGGUCUAGUGGCGCACGGGUGCGUAACGCGUGGGAAUCUGCCCUUUGGUUCGGAAUAACAGUUGGAAACGACUGCUAAUACCGGAUGAUGACGAAAGUCCAAAGAUUUAUCGCCAGAGGAUGAGCCCGCGUAGGAUUAGCUAGUUGGUGUGGUAAAGGCGCACCAAGGCGACGAUCCUUAGCUGGUCUGAGAGGAUGAUCAGCCACACUGGGACUGAGACACGGCCCAGACUCCUACGGGAGGCAGCAGUGGGGAAUAUUGGACAAUGGGCGAAAGCCUGAUCCAGCAAUGCCACGUGAGUGAUGAAGGCCUUAGGGUUGUAAAGCUCUUUUACCCGGGAUGAUAAUGACAGUACCGGGAGAAUAAGCUCCGGCUAACUCCGUGCCAGCCGCCGCGGUAA
rnacentral:rRNA from 1 species